rnacentral:misc_RNA from 1 species
AGAGAGAGAGAGAGAGAGGGAUGGUAUUUCUAUAACGCUAAAAGAGGAGAAGAGAGCAAUAUUGUAGGGUGAGUUGAGACUUGAGAAGGAGAAGAGCAAGGGAUUUUUUUUUUCUUUUCAAAAAGAGGUGGGGAUUGGCUUACAUAUAAUUAAGGGAAGCAAGUUGAUUGAGAAGGGUGUCCUUUCAAUAGUCAAUGAUGAAAAGGGCAUCUGCACUAAAUCUUGGACUGUUUAAUCAAAGCCGAUGGCCUUGUGGUUGUGUGUAUAAAAGUUGUGAAAGUUCUUUAAUAAAUAUUGUUAUUAAGGGUAUUACCCAUGAUUAUGUUAGUUACUGUAUAAUAACAUCUCAGUGAAGGUUUUUUUUUUUUUGUCUCAUAGUU